UCUGGUUGAUCCUGCCAGUAGUCAUAUGCUUGUCUCAAAGAUUAAGCCAUGCAUGUCUAAGUAUAAACACCUUUAUACUGUGAAACUGCAGAUGGCUCAUUAAAUCAGAAAUAAUUUAUUUGAUGGUGACCUACUACAUGGAUAACCGUAGUAAUUCUAGAGCUAAUACAUGCGUAUAAGUGCAGCCUCCGGGCUGUCACUGUAUUUAUUAGGUAAAAAACCAAACCCUUCGGGGCUUUGUGCUGAAUCAUAAUAACUGUUCGAAUCGCACGCUUACGCUGGCGAUAGUUCAUUCAAAUUUCUGCCCUAUCAGCUAUUGACGGUAGUGUAGUGGACUACCGUGGCAUUAACGGGUAACGGAGAAUUAGGGUCCGAUUCCGGAGAGGGAGCCUGAGAAACGGCUACCACAUCCAAGGAAGGCAGCAGGCGCGCAAAUUACCCAAUCCCGACACGGGGAGGUAGUGACAAGAAAUAGCGAUUCCAGGUCUUUAUAGGUCUGGUUAUUGCAAUGGACGUAUUGUAAAUGCCUACGUGAGUAUCCAUUGGAGGGCAAGUCUGGU
rnacentral:rRNA from 1 species